CACCCACGGCGAUCCUCCUGCAUCAGCCUCCCACGUGCUAGGAUUACAAGCCAGCCUUGAGUCUUGAUUCUUCACAGGAUUAAAUGAGGCAAGGAAAUGACAAGUCCUCUCGGACCUAUAUUUAACCUCCAAGAACCCUGCGGUCCUGCCUGAGGCAUGCCAAGACUGAACAGAGCAAAGAGCACCAGAAACCAACAGACUUUUCAGAUUCCCUGGAAGGUACCUCAGCAGGCAGAUUACAGGAAAGCAAUGGGAACACUCUGCCGAAGACCUGGUGCCAUCAGGACAGACCCUCGGCAUUUGGGUCAGAGGCCGGGGAUCUGUUCGUACACAUCAAAGGAUUUACUGAACAGUCGCAAGGCUGUGGUUUCAUACAGGGAGGGGAGGUUUUUGGGUAAAGGUUACCCAAAUUAACUGGGCUCUGAACCUCCAACCUCUCCACGUCACUGAACCUCCGAUCCCUCAAUUAGCCUGUAUAGUCUCCAAGUCUUUCCAGGGAUUUCCCUUCAAAGUCCCAAGAUCCCCAGUAGAUGCAGGAAGAGCAGUCAUUACUAAACACUCUAGAAUCCAUGUUUUGUUUUGCUGAACUAGGUGUGGGAGGGGAAGGGAAGGAAAAGACGGGAGAGAGAAUGAAUAAAAGAAGUAGGAGACAAAAACAAACGGAUGAGACCUUGA